AGAAGUUGAAUGGGAUGCUAAUACCAGUUUUUCUGCUCGUGAAUGAUCUUAUUUUCAAUUCAUCUUUGGUCAUCUAGCUCCAAAGAAUAUAUUUUUUAGAAGCCAAGUUGGUCCCCUCCUGUCGGAAAAAUUAAAUUGAACUGUUACGAGAAGCUCUUUGGGCAACCCAGGACAAGUAGGGACGGCCCCUUGCAACCCUGCUCAGCUAAGGAGCUCUUUGGGCAACCCAGGACAAGUUGGG
rnacentral:lncRNA from 1 species